AUUGAACGCUGGCGGCAGGCCUAACACAUGCAAGUCGAGCGCGGCGCAGGCGUGUGAGUAAUAUGUGGGAAACCGCCUGAUAGGGGGGGAUCACUUCUGAAAACUAUCGAUAAUACCGCAUACUAUCAUAUGUGCCCAUAUGGGAUUAGCUAGUGGGUGGGGGAAUGGCUCCCCUAGGCGAAGAUCCCUAGCUGGUCUGAGAGGAUGAACAGCCACACGGGAACUGAGACACGGCCCAGACUCCUACGGGAGGCAGCAGUGGGGAAUAUUGCACAAGGGGCGCAAGCCUGAUGCAGCCAUGCCGCGUGUGUGAAGAAGGCCCUCGGGUUGUAAAGCACUUUCAGCGGGGAGGCGUUACCCGCAGAAGAAGCACCGGCUAACUCCGUGCCAGCCGCCGCGGUAAUAC
rnacentral:rRNA from 1 species